GAUGAACGCUGGCGGCGUGCCUAAUACAUGCAAGUCGAGCGAACAGACGAGGAGCUUGCUCCUCUGACGUUAGCGGCGGACGGGUGAGUAACACGUGGAUAACCUACCUAUAAGACUGGGAUAACUUCGGGAAACCGGAGCUAAUACCGGAUAAUAUAUUGAACCGCAUGGUUCAAUAGUGGAAGACGGUUUUGCUGUAACUUAUAGAUGGAUCCGCGCCGCAUUAGCUAGUUGGUAAGGUAACGGCUUACCAAGGCAACGAUGCGUAGCCGACCUGAGAGGGUGAACGGCCCCACUGGAACUGAGAGACGGCCCAGACUCCUACGGGAGGCAGCAGUAGGGAAUCUUCCGCAAUGGGCGAAAGCCUGACGGAGCAACGCCGCGUGAGUGAUGAAGGUCUUCGGAUCGUAAAACUCUGUUAUGAGGGAAGAACAAAUGUGUAAGUAACUAUGCACGUCUUGACGGUACCUAAUCAGAAAGCCACGGCUAACUACGUG
rnacentral:rRNA from 1 species